GUACUGUUGAAGAGUCCCAAACUAGGGCGAAACAGCGGUCCAGUAC
rnacentral:hammerhead_ribozyme from 1 species